rnacentral:rRNA from 1 species
GACGAACGCUGGCGGCGUGCCUAAUACAUGCAAGUCGAACGAGAGCGACCGGUGCUUGCACUGGUCAAUCUAGUGGCGAACGGGUGAGUAACACGUGGGUAACCUGCCCAUCAGAGGGGGAUAACAUCCGGAAACGGAUGCUAAAACCGCAUAGGUCUUCGAGCCGCAUGGCUUGAAGAGGAAAAGAGGCGCAAGCUUCUGCUGAUGGAUGGACCCGCGGUGCAUUAGCUAGUUGGUGAGGUAACGGCUCACCAAGGCCGUGAUGCAUAGCCGACCUGAGAGGGUGAUCGGCCACAUUGGGACUGAGACACGGCCCAAACUCCUACGGGAGGCAGCAGUAGGGAAUCUUCCGCAAUGGACGCAAGUCUGACGGAGCAACGCCGCGCGAGUGAAGAAGGUUUUCGGAUCGUAAAACUCUGUUGUUAGAGAAGAACAAGUGCUAGAGUAACUGUUAGCGCCUUGACGGUAUCUAACCAGAAAGCCACGGCUAACUACGUG